rnacentral:rRNA from 1 species
AGAAUCAACGCUGGCGGCGUGCCUAACACAUGCAAGUCGCACGAGAAAGGGGAGCAAUCCCUGAGUAAAGUGGCGCACGGGUGAGUAACACGUGAAUAAUCUACCUCCGAGUGGGGAAUAACUGAGAGAAAUCUUAGCUAAUACCGCAUAACACUUACGAGUCAAAGCAGCAAUGCGCUUGGAGAGGAGUUCGCGGCCGAUUAGUUAGUUGGCGGGGUAAUGGCCCACCAAGACGAUGAUCGGUAUCCGGCCUGAGAGGGCGCACGGACACACUGGAACUGAAACACGGUCCAGACUCCUACGGGAGGCAGCAGUGGGGAAUUUUGCGCAAUGGGGGAAACCCUGACGCAGCAACGCCGCGUGGAGGAUGAAAUCCCUUGGGAUGUAAACUCCUUUCGAUAGGGAAGAUAAUGACGGUACCUAUAGAAGAAGCCCCGGCUAACUUCGUGCCAGCAGCCGC